CCAAUAGCGUAUAUUAAAGUUGUUGCAGUUAAAAAGCUCGUAGUUGAAUUUCGGGAUUGACGUGAUGGUCGUGCCUUACGGGGUAUGAACUGUCGCAGUUGAUUUCUCACCUUCUGGAGAAGCUCGAUGUCCUUAAUUGGGUGUCUUGCGGAACCAGGACCUUUACCUUGAAAAAAUUAGAGUGUUUAAAGCAGGCAUUUUGCUCGAAUACAUUAGCAUGGAAUAAUAGAAUAGGACGGCAUGGUUCUAUUUUGUUGGUUUCUAGGAUCACCGUAAUGAUUAAUAGGGAUAGUUGGGGGCAUUAGUAUUCAAUUGUCAGAGGUGAAAUUCUUGGAUUUAUUGAAGACUAACUACUGCGAAAGCAUUUGCCAAGGAUGUUUUCAUUAAUCAAGAACGAAAGUUAGGGGAUCGAAGACGAUCAGAUACCGUCGUAGUCUUAACCAUAAACUAUGCCGACUAGGGAUCGGAUGAUGUUAAUUUUUUAAUGACUCAUUCGGCGCCUUACG
rnacentral:rRNA from 1 species